rnacentral:misc_RNA from 1 species
GGGGUCGGUGUCGACGGGACUGGGGCUGUCGCUUGAUGACGGGAGGGUUGCGGGGGCGUCGUCGGGGGAUUCCCCGCUGCCUCUACUGCCGACGGUGGAUGCGGGUCUGGGCCGGGAGAUGCAGAGGAUGGAGGCUGAGAUGGAUCGGUUUGUUAGAAUUCAGAGCGAGCGCCUGAGGCAAUCAAUACUCGAAAAUUAUCAGGCAAAACAGCUCCAGACAUUGGCUUCUCUUCAAGAGAAGGUUCAGCGAAUGCUCCAAGAGAAAGAAGCAGAAGUUGAUGACAUCAACAAAAAGAACAUGGAACUCGAGGAACUGAUUCGGCAGUUGAACAUUGAGGUGGGC